GGUGGUGGCUCAGUGGUUAAGGAUUUGAGCUAAAGAUCAGAAGGUCAUGAGUUCAGAAUCCCAGCACCAUCA